rnacentral:rRNA from 1 species
AGCCUUUGGAAACGAAGAUUAAUGCCCUAUAGUAUCAUUUUUCGGCAUCGUUAAAUGAUUAAAGUUUCGGCGGUAUAAGAUGACUAUGCGUUCUAUUAGCUAGUUGGUAAGGUAACGGCUUACCAAGGCUACGAUAGAUAGGGGUCCUGAGAGGGAGAUCCCCCACACUGGUACUGAGACACGGACCAGACUCCUACGGGAGGCAGCAGUGAGGAAUAUUGGACAAUGGAGGCAACUCUGAUCCAGCCAUGCCGCGUGUAGGAAGACUGCCCUAUGGGUUGUAAACUACUUUUAUAUGGGAAGAAUAAGGUCUACGUGUAGACUGAUGACGGUACCAUAAGAAUAAGCACCGGCUAACUCCGUGCCAGCAGCCGCGGUAAUACGGAGGGUGCAAGCGUUAUCCGGAAUCAUUGGGUUUAAAGGGUCCGUAGGCGGGCUUGUAAGUCAGUGGUGAAAGUCUGUGGCUUAACCAUAGAAUUGCCAUUGAUACUGCAGGUCUUGAAUUAUUGUGAAGUGGUUAGAAUAUGUAGUGUAGCGGUGAAAUGCUUAGAGAUUACAUAGAAUACCGAUUGCGAAGGCAGAUCACUAACAAUAUAUUGACGCUGAUGGACGAAAGCGUAGGUAGCGAACAGGAUUAGAUACCCUGGUAGUCUACGCCGUAAACGAUGGAUACUAGUUGUUUGGCUUUCGGGCUGAGUGACUAAGCGAAAGUGAUAAGUAUCCCACCUGGGGAGUACGUUCGCAAAGAUGAAACUCAAAGGAAUUGACGG